AGCGAACGCUGGCGGCAGGCCUAACACAUGCAAGUCGAACGGAUCCUUCAGGAUUAGUGGCGGACGGGUGAGUAACACGUGGGAACGUGCCCUUUGGUUCGGAACAACUCAGGGAAACUUGAGCUAAUACCGGAUGCGCCCUUCGGGGGAAAGAUUUAUCGCCAUUGGAGCGGCCCGCGUCUGAUUAGCUAGUUGGUGAGGUAAAGGCUCACCAAGGCGACGAUCAGUAGCUGGUCUGAGAGGAUGAUCAGCCACAUUGGGACUGAGACACGGCCCAAACUCCUACGGGAGGCAGCAGUGGGGAAUCUUGCGCAAUGGGCGAAAGCCUGACGCAGCCAUGCCGCGUGAAUGAUGAAGGUCUUAGGAUUGUAAAAUUCUUUCACCAGGGACGAUAAUGACGGUACCUGGAGAAAAAGCCCCGGCUAACUUCGUGCCAGCAGCCGCCGUAACAC
rnacentral:rRNA from 1 species